rnacentral:rRNA from 1 species
ACGUAGGUGGCAAGCGUUGUCCGGAAUUACUGGGCGUAAAGGGCGUGUAGGCGGCGAUUUAAGUCAGACGUGAAAGCCCAGGGCUUAACCUUGGGACUGCGUUUGAAACUGGAUGGCUAGAGGAUCGGAGAGGGCAGUGGAAUUCCCAGUGUAGCGGUGAAAUGCGUAGAUAUUGGGAGGAACACCAGUGGCGAAGGCGACUGCCUGGACGACACCUGACGCUGAGGCGCGAAAGCUAGGGGAGCAAACG